rnacentral:rRNA from 1 species
GGGCUAUAUUACGGACCCAAAAUUACUUGUUCAAGCAUUGUUUUCGAAUUUUUUCAUGCAUCAAAGCUCGUUAAGACUAGAUGGGGUAUCCCUACAUAGCGGGUGGGACCCACGGCGAAUGGUUCAUCAAGUCUUUUAAAAAGAAUAUAUACGAUUGCAUUGCAUAUACUAACGGAUGCGAUCAUACCAGCAUUAAUGCACCGGAUCCCAUCAGAACUCCGCAGUUAAGCGUGCUUGGGCGAGAGUAGUACUAGGAUGGGUGACCUCCCGGGAAGUCCUCGUGUUGCAUCCCUCUUUUAUGUUUAACCUUUUUUUUUGGUUAAAACUUUAUGACUCCAUAACUUCUAUACAG